rnacentral:rRNA from 1 species
GAUGAACGCUGGCGGCGUGCCUAAUACAUGCAAGUCGAGCGAACAGAUAAGGAGCUUGCUCCUUUGACGUUAGCGGCGGACGGGUGAGUAACACGUGGGUAACCUACCUAUAAGACUGGGAUAACUUCGGGAAACCGGAGCUAAUACCGGAUAACAUUUGGAACCGCAUGGUUCUAAAGUGAAAGAUGGUUUUGCUAUCACUUAUAGAUGGACCCGCGCCGUAUUAGCUAGUUGGUAAGGUAACGGCUUACCAAGGCAACGAUACGUAGCCGACCUGAGAGGGUGGUCGGCCACACUGGAACUUAAGCACGGUCCAGACUCCUACGGGAGGCAGCAGUAGGGAAUCUUCCGCAAUGGGCGAAAGCCUGACGGAGCAACGCCGCGUGAGUGAUGAAGGGUUUCGGCUCGUAAAACUCUGUUAUUAGGGAAGAACAAAUGUGUAAGUAACUGUGCACGUCUUGACGGUACCUAAUCAGAAAGCCACGGCUAACUACGUG